rnacentral:misc_RNA from 1 species
CACAAAGUACCCACAAUAUAUCUUACUGUAUGUCACGCCUUGCCUUAGGAGCUUUUUCCUGUCAUAAUUUUGGUCCAGGCAGUUAAAAGCCGAUAUCUUGACUACUCUCACUUUGUAUCACUUCCAUUGGCCAUACAUCCUGAAUUGGUUAACAAGCUCAUCAACUUCCAGAACUCAGUUCUUGGAAAUACAGUAGUUAAUGAAGAUGAAAAUUUGGAAUGUGAUUCAAGUGGUAAAACUUCUGAUGCGGAAGAUUUAGGAAUUGAG